GACGAACGCUGGCGGCGCGCCUAACACAUGCAAGUCGAACGAGUGAGAAAAAGCUUGCUUUCUCGAGCGAGUGGCGAACGGGUGAGUAACGCGUGAGGAACCUGCCUCAAAGAGGGGGACAACAGUUGGAAACGACUGCUAAUACCGCAUAAGCCCACAGGUCGGCAUCGACAAGAGGGAAAAGGAGCAAUCCGCUUUGAGAUGGCCUCGCGUCCGAUUAGCUAGUUGGUGAGGUAAUGGCCCACCAAGGCAACGAUCGGUAGCCGGACUGAGAGGUUGAACGGCCACAUUGGGACUGAGACACGGCCCAGACUCCUACGGGAGGCAGCAGUGGGGAAUAUUGCACAAUGGGGGAAACCCUGAUGCAGCGACGCCGCGUGGAGGAAGAAGGUCUUCGGAUUGUAAACUCCUGUUGUUGAGGAAGAUAAUGACGGUACUCAACAAGGAAGUGACGGCUAACUACGUGCCAGCAGCCGCGGUAAAACGUAGGUCACAAGCGUUGUCCGGAAUUACUGGGUGUAAAGGGAGCGCAGGCGGGAAGACAAGUUGGAAGUGAAAUCUAUGGGCUCAACCCAUAAACUGCUUUCAAAACUGUUUUUCUUGAGUAGUGCAGAGGUAGGCGGAAUUCCCGGUGUAGCGGUGGAAUGCGUAGAUAUCGGGAGGAACACCAGUGGCGAAGGCGGCCUACUGGGCACCAACUGACGCUGAGGCUCGAAAGUGUGGGUAGCAAACAGGAUUAGAUACCCUGGUAGUCCACACCGUAAACGAUGAUUACUAGGUGUUGGAGGAUUGACCCCUUCAGUGCCGCAGUUAACACAAUAAGUAAUCCACCUGGGGAGUACGACCGCAAGGUUGAAACUCAAAGGAAUUGACGGGGGCCCGCACAAGCAGUGGAGUAUGUGGUUUAAUUCGACGCAACGCGAAGAACCUUACCAAGUCUUGACAUCCUGCGACGAUGCUGGAAACAGUAUUUUCCUUCGGGACGCAGAGACAGGUGGUGCAUGGUUGUCGUCAGCUCGUGUCGUGAGAUGUUGGGUUAAGUCCCGCAACGAGCGCAACCCUUACUGUCAGUUACUACGCAAGAGGACUCUGGCAGGACUGCCGUUGACAAAACGGAGGAAGGUGGGGAUGACGUCAUAAUCAUCAUGCCCUUUAUGACUUGGGCUACACACGUACUACAAUGGCGUUAAACAAAGAGAAGCAAGACCGCGAGGUGGAGCAAAACUCAGAAACAACGUCCCAGUUCGGACUGCAGGCUGCAACUCGCCUGCACGAAGUCGGAAUUGCUAGUAAUCGUGGAUCAGCAUGCCACGGUGAAUACGUUCCCGGGCCU
rnacentral:rRNA from 1 species